rnacentral:rRNA from 1 species
GGCGAAAGCCUGAUGGAGCGAUGCCAUGUGAAUGAUGAAGGUCUUUUUGAUCGUAAAGUUCUUUGAGGGGGAAAGAUUAUGACGGUACUCCCUGAAUAAGUGACAGCAAACUAUGUGCCAGCAGCUGCGGUAAUACAUAGGUCGCGAGCGUUAUUCGGAUUUAUUGGGCGUAAAGCAAGCGCAGGCGGAUGGAUAAGUUCUGUGUUAAAAGCAGCUGCUCAACAGUUGUUUGCGCCGAAUACUGUUCAUCUAGAAUACGGUAGGCGGUUUUGGAAUUGAAUAUGGAGCGGUGGAAUGUGUAGAUAUAUUCAAGAACACCAGAGGCGAAGGCGAAAACCGAGGCCGCUAUUGACGCUUAGGCUUGAAAGUGUGGGGAGCAAAUGGGAUUAGAUACCCCAGUAGUCCACACCGUAAACGAUGGAUAUUAGGUGUUGGGACUUGUGUCUCAGCGCCGGAGCUUACGUAUUAAAUAUCCCGCCUGGGUAGUACAUAUGCAAAUAUGAAACUCAAAGGAAUUGACGGGGACCUGAACAAGUGGUGGAACAUGUUGCUUAAUUCGAUAAUACACGAAAAACCUUACCAAGAUUUGACAUCCCUCGCGAAGCUCCAGAGAUGGAGUCAUAGGUUAUCGAGGUGACAGGUGGUGCAUGGUUGUCGUCAGCUCGUGUCAUGAGAUGUUUGGUUAAGUCCCGCAACGAGCGCAACCCUACUCUUUAGUUAACUGAUCUAGAGAGACUGAACAGUAAUGUAUAGGAAGGGUGGGAUCACGUCAAAUCAUCAUGCCCCUUAUGUCUUGGG